rnacentral:pre_miRNA from 1 species
UAUUGCUGCGGUUUUGGGCCAAAAACCGCAGCAAUAUUCCUUUUAUUAUAUUUUAAUUGAUAAUAUUGCUGCAGUUUCUGGCCCAAAACCGCAACAAUAUU